UCUCCGUUGGUGAACCAGCGGAGGGAUCAUUAAAGAGUUUAGAACUCUCAAACCCAAAUGUGAAAAUAUUAAUCGUUGUUUCGGUGGAUUCGUACCGGAGUACGGGUGGACUUGUGUUGCGGGGGGUCUGGAUUCAGGCGGCCGUCGGAGACCAUCAAAACCUUUGUAUUAAACGUAUUAUCUGAAUCGGCCGCAAGGCAAAACAAAUGAAUCAAAACUUUGAAAAACGGAUAUCUUGGUUCUGGCAUCGAUGAAGAACGAAGCAGAACGGAAGAGAAA
rnacentral:misc_RNA from 1 species